UGUGUGGCGGGGUUGGCUGCCGGCAGCGUCAGGCUUCCUCCGGCCACCUCCACCCCUCUGCGUCAGGGGGCCUUCCUCUCUCACCUGCUGGCAGCCCCCGGGAGCAGCCGGGUAACCAGCAUUGACUCAGCGGCGUUCACGGUCCAGCAGAGUCAUGGAGGGUGGCACGUGGAGAUGUAUGCCCCCUGCUUACAUCUCUCUCAGAUGGCUCAUCCACUGAGGACAGAAGACAGGCCUGGAGACCGUGUGACUCAGGGAUGAACUGCAGCUGGUUGACAAUUCUACAGAAGAUGUGCUUCAGUCUGCUUUCCUAAAAUAGGUACACUUAGCUGAUUAAAGAGUUUUUUGUUCCGAGAAGAGUAUCCCCGGUGGCCUGAGGGCGGGGCCACACCGGGCGCCUCCCACCCUCCCACCGGCUGGGCCUGUCCAUGGCUGCCAGAGCUUGUGACUCGUCGGGAGGGGCCCGAGGCUCAGGGUGAAGCAGGCCUCCUCCGUGCGUGCCCACUCUUCCAGACCGCAGCUGAUAGUAACCGCGGCCCUGACCGCAAACCCGACCUGCGGCAGCCCUGGUGGCCUCUGGUGCUCAGCCAGUUGUGAGAGGAGAAAGUCGGCACGCCUGCAGGGGUCUAGACGUCACACAGAUCCUGAGGGCGGGAGCUGGAACCACAGCUUCGGAGGACCUGGGACCCAAAGCCGAGAGACCACAGGGAUCCCAGGCUGUUGAAAUUGGCAUGGGAGGGAGGAAAACGCUUGGUUAAAGAAGAUGGACACAGGAAGAAAGGUGGGACGUACUGGCACCUGGGAGUAUGACGCUCUCAUCAUGACCAAGACCAUAAGUGUGAUUUCCAUUUAGAAAGACAGUUACGAGCCAGUAUAUAAAGCGCUUGCAGUCACUUAAGGAAAAUAAUGCACGUACUGCAAGGAUCUGAAUAUCUUAUCAGUCAUUAAAGUCCAGGGCAGUGCCCACAGGAGCCCCUGCAGGAUGCCACCCCAGCAGUCUGCCACAGGGCCAGGGCCUGGGAUUUGCAUUUCCACAAGCUCCUGGUGCCAGAACCCCACUCGGAGAAGGGUUGAUGCACACCCCCACUUCAUACUGCAGCCACCAAGCCCAGGUUUUGGUGAGCUGACACUGGAAGGGCCAUUUCUCAAUGGGGUCUCAGGGCAGUGUGCCCCCAACACUCCAGACCCAUCUUGUCAUGAGGCCACUUGAAACGUGGCCUCCAAGACAGUCCAUGCAAGGGAGGAGAGAGGCAGCCUGAACACCCAGCAGCCCAGAACACGUACCCCAAAACCCUGGGGGAGCCAAGGCAGCCUCAGUGACCCUUCUCCCACGUGUCACUCCCCAGAAGCAGAUGGACCGUCCAAGCCACCAGUGUCCAAGGAGCGUGGCUGCCCCUGGCCCACAGGGAGGAAGAGGGGCACUUUCUGCAGAGCCUCCCGAGAGGGCCCCGUGCUGCCUGGGGAACAGGCGCACGCCCAGCUGCCGCUCUUGGACUUGGUGGGUGGCGAGUGUGCAAGUGAGUGAGAGCAUGAAGCUGUUCCCUUGGGGUACCUGGGGGUGCAGGGGUCCUGACAGAGCCGACAGGGAGCAGACCGCCCCAGGGAGUCCUCAGCCUGACGUGCCUACAGAUGAUAUCCAGUCCCUGCACACCUCCCUGGACUGCCGUCCUACUGUGCAGCUGUCCAUGGAAACCCAAAACACAGAGCU